GUGCUCGUUUCAGCAGCACAUAUACUAAAAUUGGAACGAUACAGAGAAGAUCAGCAUGGCCCCUGCGCAAGGAUGACAUGCAAAAAAAA
rnacentral:snRNA from 1 species